rnacentral:tRNA from 1 species
GCCUGGCUGGCUCAGUCAGUAGAGUAUAGGAUUCUUGAUCCUGAGGUCGUGAGUUCGAGCCCCAUGUUGGUCA